GAGGACAGAGAAAUAGGCCUUUGGUGGCUGACCUUGGUGUGAGCGAGGACAUGGCGGAGAGACAGAAGCAGUUAGACAGAUCAAGAAUAGGAACAAAGGGGGUGGUAGAUAUUUUCCUGAGAGAGGUGAAAUUCAAUGACCAGGAAAAGAUAGACGAGAGCGAAAGCAUUCCACAAAGAUGUUUUCAUAGAUCAAGAACGAAAGUUGGGGGAUCGAAGACGAUCAGAUACCGUCGUAGUCUCAACCAUAAACGAUGCCSACUAGGGAUUGGAUGGUGGUGUGUGAGUGGUUGUGGU
rnacentral:rRNA from 1 species